GACAGCAGUCGCCGCGGUAACACGUAGGUGGCAAGCGUUGUCCGGAAUUAUUGGGCGUAAAGGGCUCGCAGGCGGUUUCUUAAGUCUGAUGUGAAAGCCCCCGGCUCAACUGGGGAGGGUCAUUGGAAACUGGGAAACUUGAGUGCAGAAGAGGAGAGUGGAAUUCCACGUGUAGCGGUGAAAUGCGUAGAGAUGUGGAGGAACACCAGUGGCGAAGGCGACUCUCUGGUCUGUAACUGACGCUGAGGAGCGAAAGCGUGGGGAGCGAACAGGAUUAGAUACCCCUGUAGUCCCUGUCUCUUAUAC
rnacentral:rRNA from 1 species